rnacentral:lncRNA from 1 species
CCGGCCUGGCCCAGGCAGAGCACUGGACAAAAGCUCAGAAGGGGGACGGCAGGAGGUUAGUCUAAUGUGAUAACAAGGGUGGGGCCGGUCGGGUGCUGUCAUUUCUCCAGUACCUGCUCAGCUAAUUAACCGCUCUACCUCUAUGUGAAUAACCUUAACAGUCCUCCACAGGAAGGUGGUAGCUCUAAUUUACAGACCAGAGAAAUGGGCUUGGAGAAGGGAGGUAGCCUACCUAGGACACACAGCUUAGUGGCAAGGCUGUGUUUAGAGUGUGGUCUGUGGACACAGAUGGCCAACAGUGUCAGUAGCUGAUCAGCUUUGCACUGCUGUCCCUCUGCUUCCAAGGAGUCUCUGUAGACUCUUGAGAGCACUGAGACCCAGGUGUCACCUCCCAGAUGCCUGGAGGAGCCCCGGGAAGAACCCAGGUAUUGUGGAAACUCAUCCUGUCAUUGGUAGGGGCUCAUUUGAAGAAAAACAUUUUAUGUUUAUGGGUGUUUCCCUGCAUGCAUGUCUGAGUACCAGAUAUGGGCUAGUGCCCAUAGAGACCAAAAGAGGGCAUUAGUUCCCCUAGAACUGGAGUUAGAAACAGUACCAUGUGGAUGGAUGCUGGGAACUAAGCCUGAAGCCUCCGCAGGAGCAGCAAGUGCUCUUUAACAGCCAAGCCAUCUCUCUAGACCCUUUCUUUCUUUUUUCUUUUUAGACAAGGUCUCAUUAUGUAGCCUGUUUGGCCUGGAACUCACUGUGUAGACCAAGCUGGCCUUGAACUCAUAGAGCUCCACCUGCCUCUACCUCCCAAGUACCAUGAGGAAAGACGUGCACACCCCACCCAGCCAGAGCUAGUUUCAGAGUUUAAAUCUGAAGGCAGUGGACAGUAGGAAUGAAGGAGCCACCAGAAUGCCUGGCUCUCGAGACCUUUUCAUGGGAGAAAGUCCUUGC